UACGAAGGGGGCUAGCGUUGUUCGGAAUUACUGGGCGUAAAGGGCGCGUAGGCGGUUUAGUAAGUCAGAUGUGAAAGCCCCGGGCUUAACCUGGGAACAGCAUUUGAUACUGCUAGACUUGAGAUCGAAAGAGGAGAGUGGAAUUGCGAGUGUAGAGGUGAAAUUCGUAGAUAUUCGCUGGAACACCAGUGGCGAAGGCGACUCUCUGGUUCGAUACUGACGAUAAGGCGCGAAAGCGUGGGUAGCAAACAGG
rnacentral:rRNA from 1 species